rnacentral:rRNA from 1 species
CUUCCAAAUUCGACCUCAAAUCAGGUAGGACUACCCGCUGAACUUAAGCAUAUCAAUAAGCGGAGGAAAAGAAACCAACAGGGAUUGCUUUAGUAGCGGCGAGUGAAGCGGCAAAAGCUCAAAUUUGAAAUCUGGCACUUUCAGUGUCCGAGUUGUAAUUUGAAGAAGGUAUCUUUGGGUCUGGCUCUUGUCUAUGUUUCUUGGAACAGAACGUCACAGAGGGUGAGAAUCCCGUGCGAUGAGAUGUCCCAGACCUAUGUAAAGUUC